GGAGAGGUGUAGGAGUGGCUUAACUAGCAGUCCUGGAAAGACUGUAUACCGCAAGGUAUCGCGGGUUCGAAUCCCGCCCUCUCCGCCA
rnacentral:tRNA from 1 species